AAUAUUUGACGCCAUUGACUUUUUUAAACAUGUUUGACCGUUCGUCUUAUUCAAAAAAUUUAAGUAAUUAUUAAUUCUUUUCCUAUCAUUUGAUUCAUUGUUAAAUAUAAUUUUAUAUAUACAUAUAGUUUUACAUAUUUCACAAGAUUUUUUGAAUAAGACGAACGGUCAAACAUAUUUAAAAAGGUCAACGGCGUCAAACAUU
rnacentral:pre_miRNA from 1 species